UCCAGACUCCUACGGGAGGCAGCAGUGGGGAAUAUUGCACAAUGGGGGGAACCCUGAUGCAGCAACGCCGCGUGGGUGAAGAAGUAUUUCGGUAUGUAAAGCCCUAUCAGCAGGGAAGAAGAUGACGGUACCUGACUAAGAAGCCCCGGCUAAAUACGUGCCAGCAGCCGCGGUAAUACGGAGGAUGCGAGCGUUAUCCGGAUUUAUUGGGUUUAAAGGGUGCGUAGGCGGAAUAUCAAGUCAGCGGUAAAAAUUCGGGGCUCAACCCCGUCGUGCCGUUGAAACUGAUGUUCUUGAGUGGGCGAGAAGUAUGCGGAAUGCGUGGUGUAGCGGUGAAAUGCAUAGAUAUCACGCAGAACUCCGAUUGCGAAGGCAGCAUACCGGCGCCCAACUGACGCUGAAGCACGAAAGCGUGGGUAUCGAACAGGAUUAGAUACCCGCGUAAG
rnacentral:rRNA from 1 species